GAACAGAGAGUCGAACAUUGUCACAAUCCAAAAUUUCCACACGAUAAAACUCAGUUCAUGAUCAAGAAAGCAGUGUUGGUGUCACAUCAAGUUUCGUGCCAUCUUUUAAUCGAACAGAUCAUUUGAUGAAAAAUAGAUUCAAGUGCUAAUUUAAGCCCAGCUGAGAGUGUACUUUCAUGAAUUGCAAACAGUUGUUCUCUCAGAAGAAGAUUAUUGAAACACCCAUCGUCAAGCAGCCCACUGCCACCCAAGGACUCAACCGUUCACCUAUUCUAGCAGCCUUCCAAAAGAAACCUCGAAACCCAGUUCUCUGUUCAAGUAGUGCAGGAAAAUGCAUCUUCACAUAAGUGCAUGUACAAAUCCCUAACAGCACUACUGUCAAAAAGGAGUGGAAAUUGAAGAGUGCCGACAUAUCUGAAUGCCCUCUCUAAAUCAGUUUUGCCUUCCACCAAGCCUUAAAUCAAGAUCCUAAAGCGAAAUUGCAGUGAAUAUAUGAAAAAUGAGGAUUUUUAAAACAGUAUCUGAUCUCCAGAUCCAAUCCGUUUAUCUCCGAUCUCGGAGAAUACAACAAUGGAGAGUAAACUCAAGCUAAGCCACCUCUCGAUAACCAAAUAAGCUUGAGAAAAUCUAUGAGUCGGAAGGAUGAAGAAGAUUUAAGCAAUGGAAACCACCGUCU
rnacentral:misc_RNA from 1 species